AAAACGUAAUGGCGGGGGUGCCUAUACAUGCAAGUCGAACGCUUUGUGGUUCAACUGAUUUGAAGAGCUUGCUCAGAUAUGACGAUGGACAUUGCAAAGAGUGGCGAACGGGUGAGUAACACGUGGGAAACCUACCUCUUAGCAGGGGAUAACAUUUGGAAACAGAUGCUAAUACCGUAUAACAAUGACAACCGCAUGGUUGUUAUUUAAAAGAUGGUUCUGCUAUCACUAAGAGAUGGUCCCGCGGUGCAUUAGCUAGUUGGUAAGGUAAUGGCUUACCAAGGCGAUGAUGCAUAGCCGAGUUGAGAGACUGAUCGGCCACAAUGGGACUGAGACACGGCCCAUACUCCUACGGGAGGCAGCAGUAGGGAAUCUUCCACAAUGGGCGAAAGCCUGAUGGAGCAACGCCGCGUGUGUGAUGAAGGGUUUCGGCUCGUAAAACACUGUUGUAAGAGAAGAAUGACAUUGAGAGUAACUGUUCAAUGUGUGACGGUAUCUUACCAGAAAGGAACGGCUAAAUACGUGCCAGCAGCCGCGGUAAUACGUAUGUUCCAAGCGUUAUCCGGAUUUAUUGGGCGUAAAGCGAGCGCAGACGGUUAUUUAAGUCUGAAGUGAAAGCCCUCAGCUCAACUGAGGAAUUGCUUUGGAAACUGGAUGACUUGAGUGCAGUAGAGGAAAGUGGAACUCCAUGUGUAGCGGUGAAAUGCGUAGAUAUAUGGAAGAACACCAGUGGCGAAGGCGGCUUUCUGGACUGUAACUGACGUUGAGGCUCGAAAGUGUGGGUAGCAAACAGGAUUAGAUACCCUGGUAGUCCACACCGUAAACGAUGAGUGCUAGGUGUUUGAGGGUUUCCGCCCUUAAGUGCCGCAGCUAACGCAUUAAGCACUCCGCCUGGGGAGUACGACCGCAAGGUUGAAACUCAAAGGAAUUGACGGGGACCCGCACAAGCGGUGGAGCAUGUGGUUUAAUUCGAAGCAACGCGAAGAACCUUACCAGGUCUUGACAUCCCUUGACAACUCCAGAGAUGGAGUGUUCCCUUCGGGGACAGUGACAGGUGUGCAUGAUGUCGUCAGCUCGUGUCGUGAGAUGUGGGUAGUCCGCACGAGCGCAUCUUAUUACUAGUUGCCAGCAUUCAGUUGGCACUUCUAGUGGAGAACUG
rnacentral:rRNA from 1 species